GGAAUAUUGGUCAAUGGGCGCAAGCCUGAACCAGCCAUGCCGCGUGCAGGAUGAAGCAUCUAUGGUGUGUAAACUGCUUUUAUACAGGAAGAAACACUCGGACGUGUCCGAGCUUGACGGUACUGUAGGAAUAAGGAUCGGCUAACUCCGUGCCAGCAGCCGCAGGAAUACGGAGGAUCCAAGCGUUAUCCGGAAUCAUUGGGUUUAAAGGGUCCGUAGGCGGCCUUGUAAGUCAGUGGUGAAAUCUCCCCGCUCAACGGGGAAACGGCCAUUGAUACUGCAGGGCUUGAAUUAUUGGGAAGUAACUAGAAUAUGUAGUGUAGCGGUGAAAUGCUUAGAUAUUACAUGGAAUACCAAUUGCGAAGGCAGGUUACUAUCAAUACAUUGACGCUGAUGGACGAAAGCGUGGGUAGCGAAC
rnacentral:rRNA from 1 species